AAGAGGAGUAUGCACCAGAGGUCUGGGAAUUCUUGAGCUCUAUUUCUCUGCUGUGAAGAGCGAGCUGGAGACUUCUGGCCAAGGGUUCAGAUACAACUGGUAGCAGCCCCAAGCACUGAGCCGCCUGCCUGCCACAACCCUGUUUGCAAAGAAGGGGAAUUUUUAAAUAUGAAGAGAAGGAAGAAAAAAAUAUCAAAGUUGAGAAGUCCUAGGAUAUAACUGUGAUGACUCCACAGUUAACAGGGACUGCACUGGUAACAGGGACUCCAGACACCUCCACAUAGGAUGCUGUUCCUCUGGAUGUUCUGGAGGGAAUUUCAAAAGAGCUGUUCAGCAGUGGGUCCAAGGAUGCCCUCACAAGAGAAGAUUUUGAGUAGUGGGAGCAUCAGUCCAAGAAAGAGGAUGUCAAGAGGAUGGGAGCCUUGUGGUGAACCUCAGGUGGCUUUUGAUCCUCUCUCAUCCUGAUUAAACAGGAGCAACCAGGAAAACAAAAUGUGAUAUAAAGAAGAGCUGCAGGGAUUUGGGAGGCCUGCCUUGUGGAAAGAAGCUGAAAGCUGCUUUGGACUAGCAAAAUGGAAGCUGAAAGAGCGUAGGGUGUUCUCCCUAACAACCAUGAGGAUUGGAUGUGAAGCUCUUCAUGAAAUUCAACAUACAUGUAUUUGCACAUUUGGUAAAAGAUCUUGCAGGAAGUCGAGUGUCUUACAAGGUGCUAAGUGGCUGUGACUCUUGUUUAAACCAGCAGAAGUUGGACACACUCAACAGCUUCUAAUGAGCUGCUCUGAGCCUGCAGACAUGCUUAGCUUUAUGCAGCAAUUUACUUUGCAGUUCACUCAUUACGGACUGUUGAAAAACUUUCUAAUAUGCACCCACACUGCCAGAUACUUUAUAGAGAUACCAGUGUGUUGUCAGAUCAUGGCAUGUCUUCUGUAUGCCUCAUAAAAUGUGAACCCAAAAAUAUAAAGUGUGAAUAUAUGUAGAUUGGAUAGAUACAUUGAUUUUUAUUAUGCUGUUGUUUUUCUAGAAUUCUUUUCUAGUUGCUGUCGCACUUUAAAACUGUCAAUCUCACGCUUGUUCUAUCCUUCCUCAAGCUUUCUCACUGUUAAAACUUAUCUUUAAAUAAGAUGGGUUUCCUUAACUUUUAUAUAAAACAGAAUUCUUUUAGCCUGUGUAGUAUGUACCAUUUUCAUCUACUGCGGGUGAAGGAAAUGUGUCUUACAAAAUCUUAAUAUAAGACUACAAAACUGUAGACAACAGACAGUUCCUGUAUAAGCUGUCCCUGUAUUGUUCAAUUCAUCUACAUGCAGAGCUGGGAUAGUGGUAUUCAAGAAGCAUAUGCCUGGGCUAAUUGGAUUUUCCAUUUUGCAUUACUUCAUUGUUGAAUAUGUGCAGGCUUAAA
rnacentral:lncRNA from 1 species